rnacentral:tRNA from 1 species
GCUGGCGUAGCUCAAUCGGCAGAGCAAUUGAUUUGUAAUCAAUAGGUUGUAGGUUCGAUUCCCAUCGCCAGCUCCA